GACGAACGCUGGCGGCGUGCUUAACACAUGCAAGUCGAACGGAAAGGCCCUGCUUUUGUGGGGUGCUCGAGUGGCGAACGGGUGAGUAACACGUGAGUAACCUGCCCUUGACUUUGGGAUAACUUCAGGAAACUGGGGCUAAUACCGGAUAGGAGCUCCUGCUGCAUGGUGGGGGUUGGAAAGUUUCGGCGGUUGGGGAUGGACUUGCGGCUUAUCAGCUUGUUGGUGGGGUAGUGGCUUACCAAGGCUUUGACGGGUAGCCGGCCUGAGAGGGUGACCGGCCACAUUGGGACUGAGAUACCGCCCAGACUCCUACGGGAGGCAGGAGGGGGGAAUAUUGCACAAAGGGCGGAAGCCUGAUGCAGCAACGCCGCGUGCGGGAUGACGGCCUUCGGGUUGUAAACCGCUUUCGCCUGUGACGAAGCGUGAGUGACGGUAAUGGGUAAAGAAGCACCGGCUAACUACGU
rnacentral:rRNA from 1 species